rnacentral:lncRNA from 1 species
UGCAAAUGGUGAGAGUAAUGGCUUUAAUUCACAGGAAAUGUUUAUAUGUUACUCAGACACAAACACAACUGAUAGACCACACAUUGGGAAGAUGUCUGCCUGGGAAAAACUCAUAGAUAUACCCUACAGCUGACGAGUGAGUUCCUAUAUUACAACGAAAGCUCAUGCAUUCUUUCUGGUCAUGGUUGAAGUUGUUGUUUGUGUUAAAUUAGCAAAAUCUUCUAAAAGAGAAGAUAUAGGAGAAAGAAAAGACAUACUGUUUAAGUAUGGGAGUGAGAAACAGUGGCCUGCACUUCAGUUUCCAUCAGUAAUGAUUAUUUGAUUUCUUUGUGCCUCAGUUACACAACUGCAAAAUGGAGAUGUUUGUUUUCUCUGUUCACUUGGUUUGGAAACAUCUCAAGAAGGAACAGAAGAGAGAAUUCUCCUCUCACCAUUAGGUAGUGAAACACUGUCACUGCCACCAUUUUACAGAAGGAGGAAUUGCAGCAGAGAAGCCAAAAGGUUUGCCCAAUGCCACAGAACAAAAUGGGGCAGGACCUCAGGUCUCUUCAGCCAGGACCACUCCAGCAAUGGCCAGACUCCGUCUGCACGGUUUCUUUCACAGCUGAGAGCUACAGGGCACACACUGGACGCCUCCAAGAGGCGUGAUGUCUGCUGUCCCCGCAUGGACCUGAUUUGUUUACUUCACUGGCGUAAUUUCAUUUCAUCCAAACUUCUAAUGAAAGCAAGUCUGUAACAUGAGGUUUGUGGUAGAGAUAAUAAUUUUGCGUCAUAGUGCAUCCCCUUGAAGAUGUGGAGUGUUUUCAGAAAUGUUAGUUUGCUCCCCUAUUUACGUCUUUCAUGCUCAUUUUUCAUUCAGUGGAUAGAGCUCUGUGGACUGCGAUAGUCGUGGAGACUCCUAGCUUUUCAGCAUGUUGCUGGUUGUGGCUACCAUCUAUAAAAAUAUGGGCUUGAGACCUGGUGGACGUACAGAGUUGAACUGUAGCUUACAUUGAAGACAGCCCAUUUGAUUUCAGUGAAGAUUCUAUCACAGUAGGAGACUGCUCAGCAUGAUGGUACCUGCUCUUCUUUGUAAGUUUCCAUUCUCACUUUUAGGUAACAAUCCUUAUCAGCAUAGGGAUAAGCAAACAUAAAUUGCCCAACAAAAUCAUUGCAUUCAUGAUCGCAGACAGUAAGUUGUAGUAGUGCCCUGACAGGACAAUUCAAUCCUAAGAAGAGAAAUAGAGACAAUUACAGCCCUCAAGUUAAAUUCCAUUGAACCUUUUGUAUAUGUCCUCUUCCUUUUCUGUGACAUCACGUGGAAGCAACUUCACAGGGUAUGUAUAUGACAAUAGAAUAUAACUCAAGCUUUAUAAUCUCUUAAAAAUUAAUUGUUA